AGAGUUUGAUCCUGGCUCAGGGUGAACGCUGGCGGCGUGCCUAACACAUGCAAGUCGAACGAGAACGGGUUUAGUUUACUAAACUGUCAGCUAAGUGGCGCACGGGUGAGUAAUGUAUAGUUAACCUGCCUUCAAGAAGGGGAUAAUUGCUGGAAACGGCAUGUAAGACCCUAUAUGCCUUUAUAACAUAAGUUAGCAAGGGAAAUUUUGCCACUUAAAAAAAUAUAUUUUUAAAAUUUAGUUGAAAUAGUAAAUAUGAGAUACAAAGAAGCUUUUUGAGACUUUAUGAAUAUAAAGUAAGAAAGGAUGAUGUAGUAGGUUGUAUUUAAUGUUUCAAUCCAACUAUAACACAACUACUUCAUGAAAAUCACUUGCUAUACUAGAGUAUAGCUUUAUAAUCUUUAUUUUGUAUUUGUAUCAUAUUUGAAUUGCUAAAUGUUAAAAAUAUCUUUUUUUAAGUGGCUUAGCUUGAAGAUGGGACUGUAUGGUAUCAGUUAGUUGGUGGGGUAAUGGCCUACCAAGACAAUGACGCCUAACUGGUUUGAGAGGAUGAUCAGUCACACUGGAACUGAGACACGGUCCAGACUCCUACGGGAGGCAGCAGUGGGGAAUAUUGCACAAUGGAGGAAACUCUGAUGCAGCAACGCCGCGCGGAGGAUGACACUUUUCGGAGCGUAAACUCCUUUUAUAU
rnacentral:rRNA from 1 species